rnacentral:rRNA from 1 species
CCCAAGAGAUCGGGAUAACACCUGGAAACAGAUGCUAAUACCGGAUAACAACAGAUGAUGCCUAUCAACUGUUUAAAAGAUGGUUCUGCUAUCACUCUUGGAUGGACCUGCUGUGCAUUAGCUAGUUGGUAGGGUAACGGCCUACCAAGGCGAUGAUGCAUAGCCGAGUUGAGAGACUGAUCGGCCACAUUGGGACUGAGACACGGCCCAAACUCCUACGGGAGGCAGCAGCA